rnacentral:rRNA from 1 species
UACGAAGGGUGCAAGCGUUACUCGGAAUUACUGGGCGUAAAGGGUGCGUAGGUGGUUUUUUAAGUCCGUUGUGAAAUCCCUGGGCUCAACCUGGGAAUGGCAGUGGAUACUGGAAAAGCUAGAGUGCGGUAGAGGGUAGUGGAAUUCCCGGUGGUAAGCAGUGAAAUGCGUAGAGAUGGGAGGAACACCGUGGCGAAAGGCGGCUCCU